UGUGACCCGCGUGCACCUCAGCGUUUGCAGACAGUUGUCAAAACGGGGACCGCUAACGGCUGCGCGCUCUUGGCAUUUAAUUUUAAAUCACCUGCAAAACUAAUCAUUAGUAUUGGUGCUUCAUAAAUCAAUCUCUGAAUUGAAGAUCUGAUUGCGGAGAGGUAUCUUUGAGGUAGCCAGACCUGAUUUGAGGAAGACAAGAAGCUGUAACAGAAAACUCGAAUGCACUGUAGAACCAGACACCGGCCACAGGCCCAGAUCGAAGACUUUGAAUUGGGCCACCCAACAUCUACCCUAUAAAUGAACGGCUGGAGUGCAUGAAGGAGCAGGCCCUACAGACCCAAAGCUGCAGGAUCUCCAUGAGACAGGGCAACAGCAAGAUAUCCAAGAGGGGUCCCAAUGAUGAUCCAGUAGUAAUAGAGUUGCAGAAACCAGAGGCCCAAUACCACCAGAGUGCAAUGGCUAGUGUGUGCAGAUCUGAGGCUUAUGAUGACCUUUGUCAAACUGUCUCUGCAAGUACAAGGCACUCUUCCACCAGCUCCAUCUGAGUUGUACAUGCUCACCAACACGCAGCACAACUGCUUCAACUUCGGCCUUCCGAUGAAUGGACCUGUCUCCCAUGGAGAUCUGUAAAUUGCUUCACGGCUACCAAGUGUUCCCAAUUCUUUCCCUGCCUAUAAUAGUUCUACCUUUGCCUGUCUUUCCAUUAGUCAUUGGUGAGAGUGAAAAAGAAGAGACCUUACGUAGAGAUGUUCAAAUGUGUAUGUCAGUUGAUAAGUAGAUAGGCAGAAUGUUGCCUUCUGGAGGGAUCUAGGCUGGAGAUGGGAUUUAGGAGUCAUGAAGGAACACAUAGUGGCUAUAGGCCACUUAGGCACUUUAAUAAGACUCCCCGAUGGUUGUGCAUGAACACAAAGUUUAGAGUCAAACUUAGGAGCACAUUAAUAUCCAAGAGGUAAGAAACAGAGACAGAGUAAGGGGGAACGUAGGACUCCUUGUUCAAACUGCACAAGACAAUAGUUAAAACUGUAUGGAGCACUUCCCACAUGCUCUCCCUCUUCCUGUCCUCAUAGCUUUCAUUUGCUAUUUAAUGCCAUUCCAAGAAAUACACUUUUGAAUUUUUAGCACAGUUUAAUCAUUUGUCUUCACAUUGUGUUAACGUUUAAAAUUUUAUGGCAUAUAAUUUACACAUAAUAAAUUUGCCCAUCUAAAGUA